GUUUUGAUUCGUAACUAGUAACUAGCAUUAUAAUGGUUCAAGACUAGAUUAAGAGAGAGAGAAAUCAUGCUAAUCUCAAUGGUUGAACUAAGGAAAAUGAUGGUUGAACAAUGUUUAAUUUUUUAUUUUAUUUUAAGAACCCUUAAAUAAGAGACUCCCAUUGGAACACAAAAAUAUUGGUGUCUCUUAAGUAGGUCUCUUAAGAAAUAUAUAAUACUUAAAAAUCAUUAAGAGACCUAAAGUGGAUGUUCGGGUUAAUGAUGCUCUAAUGCCGUAACAUUAGAAAUUCCUUUUCCACCUUUUUAAAAACAAAAAUAACUAGAUCUCGACCCGCGGAACCGUGCGGAUGUUUAUUUUCAUUUAUUUUUAUAUAAACAUUUUUGUUUUCAAUUUUACAUUGGUAUAUAUUGCUCCAUCCAUUCCUAAAAGAUCCAUGUUUUAGAAUUUUCACACUUUUUAAUAACACAUAUUAAAACUUAGCUAUAAAUGCAUAGUUUUUGUAAUUUUAUAUUUCCUAUACUUUUAAACCAAUAAGAUUUUAAGAAAUGAAAUUAAUAUUCUUGAACUUCACAAUUUCUUAUUAUUAAUUGACAAAAAUUACAUUGGAAAUAUAAAAUAUGUAUCUUUUUGAAACAAAUUUUUUCAUAGAUCUUUUAGGAACAAAUGGAGUAUAAUAUAUAUGAGGUGUGUCUGUCACUUUUUAAAACAUAAUAAUUUUUUGCUUGGAAAAAAUUGAUAUUUAUUUAGUUCUUAUAAUGUAGUAGACAUAUUAUUUAGUUCCUAUAAUCUAGAAAGUGAGUUAUUUAGAUCUAUAAUAAUGAUAAGAUUAGAGAUUAAAUGUAACAUAAUUUUUUAGUAGUAGGUCCAUUUUUUAAAAAAAAUCACACAUGAGUUAAGGUUGUGACUUCUCUUUUAAUAUAUAAGAUACGAGAAAGAGAAAAUCUAUAUUAUAAUAGUAAAGUUUCUAUUCACUCUUAACCCUAUCCACGUGAGCACAUGGAACCCACAAAAUAUAUUUUAAAACAGAAACUCCAAUGCUAAUUUCUAUUACAGUUCUCCCGUGGAAUGUUAUAUUUCCUUGACGAUAGAGCUUUUAUCAUUAAUUUCACAAUCUAAACACAAUUGUUCUCUUCACCUCCCAACUUUGACUCUAUAGAUUUGAUUCACCUCAUCUCUAAUCACAAUAGACGCCUCACUAAUAAUAACUGAAGAAGAUCCGAUCAAUUAAUUUAGGGUGAGAGCAUUUACGUGACCAGCGACCUUAUCAAAAUCUGGGAGACUGGGACGUUGGUAGAGGGCUUAGGCUGCCACGACGAUGCUUGACAACUCAUCCUCCUAAUUCCGUCUCUGCUUGCUUUCUCCGACAACUACUAAUCACUGAAUCAACAGCCGGUGUAUCAGCGAGUUCGCCAUUCUUUGUCUCACUGAUCUCGGAUGUGGUCCUCUCAGAGAUUUUUAACCCCAAAUCGACCUCAAACGUUGACAGACAUCCAUGGCGAGCACCAAAUUCCAGCCAAUCAUAUCUACGUUUCCUUGGAUCUUCUAUGUUUCAUCUAUAUGUUGGUAUCACUACUUCCUCUCUAUUCCUUUGUUUAACGGCAGCUACAUAACUUGAGUUUUAUUUUUAUUCAAAGUGAAAACUCCAGAACAAUGGAUUUACGUGGUUUAGGUUUUCAAUGCGUCUUUUGAUUCUGUAUCUGUUUUUUUUUUGUAAUUAAUUUGUGAUGCUGAAAGCUCAGAUCCAGAUGGGCUAUUUGUGCAUAAAGAGAUGAGGAUUGAAGAACUACCUAAUGUGAGUCAUGAAGGAACUGAUUUUUCUAUUACAAGGUGACAUGCUCUAUAUCAGGCUUUCAAUCUCAAUCAAGUUUCAAUUGCCACUGAAGGACUGAAAGAUGCUCAACAACCUUUAUGUAUAUCUUUCGCUCUCACCACUGUACAACAUAUCGAAUCUAACCAAGUAUUAAGAAUGUCGAUUAAAAUCUACAUAUGACACCACUGAAAAGUAAUGAUGCAAACUGUAAAUAUGGAUGUACGUUUUUAGUUAUUUUUCCACAUGUUGGUGUUUAUCUCUUAAUUUGAAUUUUCUCACUGGUAUUUUUGUUUCCCCUUAUACUAACUCUGAUGGUACAUAAAUUUGCAAGAUCAGAUUAUGGAUUUGAUGGGCGUGAGUUCUAAAAUACAAGAAAAAAUUGGUAGUAGCAAAGAUUUUCCUGAUGACCUUCACGAAGAUGAUUGCAUGGUGCUUUUGGUGUAUUUUAGAGCCUGAGGCUCUUGAAGCUGACAUGGGAAACGAGUCCAAAGUGGAUGGAGUGCCUUUUUCUCUCCAACGCGAUAAUCAAACUGAUUAUGAUGAGGACCUUAUCUUGCCCCAGAACCAAUAGGGCAGACUGGAGCUCAACCUGCUCGAGUUCAUGUUAAAGUGUUUAGACCCUUCUCCUUUUAUCGAACUUAAAAUGCUUUAAAGCAUGAUUUAGCUCUUUAUGGAUGCCUAAAGGGAGAUUUAAAUUUGUGAUUAACAGGCUGAGGAUGAGCUUGGAUUACCGGCAGUACCAAGCUACUCACUGGGGAAUAGAUCUUACGCUCUCUUUGUGGGGUAGAGCUGCUAAGAUCUUUUUUUUUUUUUUGACAAAAGCUGCUAAGAUCUUUGCACCAUUCUAAUGAUUUUGUGGAUAAAUUUCUGGCAAUAUAUCUAUGGAAUGGGAACCUUUUGGUGCAUUUUACUUA